rnacentral:rRNA from 1 species
UAAGGAAUAUUGGUCAAUGGACGCAAGUCUGAACCAGCCAUGCCGCGUGGAGGAUGACGGUCCUCUGGAUUGUAAACUUCUUUUAUUUGGGAAGAAAACCUCUGAUUAUUCGGAGCUUGACGGUACCAGAUGAAUAAGCACCGGCUAACUCCGUGCCAGCAGCCGCGGUAAUACGGAGGGUGCAAGCGUUAUCCGGAUUCGCUGGGUUUAAAGGGUGCGUAGGCGGAUAGGUAAGUCCGUGGUGAAAUCUCUCGACUUAAUCGGGAAACUGCCAUGGAUACUAUUUAUCCUGAAUGUUGUGGAGGUUAACGGAAUAUGUCAUGUAGCGGUGAAAUGCUUAGAUAUGACAUGGAACACCAAUUGCGAAGGCAGUUAACUACACAAAUAUUGACGCUGAUGCACGAAAGCGUGGGGAUCAAACA